AUCCGGAGGGGCGGCACGCGACCUCGGGAGCGCCCCCGCCUCCCUCUGGCCGCCGCGGGCUCGGUGAGCUUCUUCCCUCCAGCCGGCAGGCUGGGCGCGCAGGGGCGCGGGUCCCCGCCCGGCGCGCAGAGGCACCAUGGGCACGGUGCUGUCCCUGUCCCCCAGCUACCGGAAGGCCACGCUGUUUGAGGAUGGCGCGGCCACGGUGGGCCACUACACGGCCGUGCAGAACAGCAAGAACGCCAAGGACAAGAACCUGAAGCGGCACUCCAUCAUCUCCGUGCUGCCGUGGAAGAGGAUCGUGGCCGUGUCGGCCAAGAAGAAGAACUCCAAGAAGGUGCAGCCCAACAGCAGCUACCAGAACAACAUCACGCACCUCAACAAUGAGAACCUGAAGAAGUCGCUGUCGUGCGCCAACCUGUCCACGUUCGCCCAGCCCCCGCCGGCCCAGCCGCCCGCCCCCCCUGCCAGCCAGCUCUCGGGUUCGCAGACCGGGGUCUCCUCGUCCGUCAAGAAGGCCCCGCACCCUGCCGUCAGCUCCGCAGGGACGCCCAAACGGGUCAUCGUCCAGGCGUCCACCAGCGAGCUGCUGCGCUGCCUGGGCGAGUUUCUCUGUCGCCGGUGCUACCGCCUGAAGCACCUGUCCCCCACGGACCCUGUGCUCUGGCUGCGCAGCGUGGACCGCUCGCUGCUGCUGCAGGGCUGGCAGGACCAGGGCUUCAUCACGCCGGCCAACGUGGUCUUCCUCUACAUGCUCUGCCGGGAUGUCAUCUCCUCCGAGGUGGGUUCCGACCACGAGCUCCAGGCGGUCCUGCUGACCUGCCUGUACCUCUCCUACUCCUACAUGGGCAACGAGAUCUCCUAUCCGCUCAAGCCCUUCCUGGUGGAGAGCUGCAAGGAGGCCUUUUGGGACCGCUGCCUCUCCGUCAUCAACCUCAUGAGCUCCAAGAUGCUGCAGAUCAACGCUGACCCCCACUACUUCACGCAGGUGUUCUCCGACCUGAAGAAUGAGAGCGGCCAGGAGGACAAGAAGCGGCUCCUCCUCGGGCUGGACCGGUGAGCCCGCUAGCCUGCAUCAUGGCUCAAGGAUUCAAUUCAUUUUUAAAAAUUUAUUCUUAAAUCAGAUUUUGUGUACAGUAUGUGUCUAGCAAAGCCACCAAGGGCCUCUCCCUUCCCACCUCCCCUCCUUGGGGUUUUCCUCCGCCCUGCCAAGAACUCUGGGCGCUUCUGAACUCCCGAACCUUGUGCAACAUUCAGAAGAUGUAUUCAGAGCCACUCCAGCCCCUGACCUCUCACUCCGGGGAACUGAAAGGACUGACCGGCCUCUGCCGCCUGUGCCCUUGCUGGACCAAGGCAGGGAAGGCGGCCCACAGCCAGGCAGCCCAGGGAGGAAUGGGAGUUUUUGGUUGGAGGCCAUUUUCUGGCUCCUGUUUUGGGUCGUCUGUUCUCCCAGAGGCUCCUGGAGCCGGCCACCUGGACUGCGCUGCACGUGGGCUCAGGAGGCCGAACGCCCGUGGCCCUGGGACAGCCUCUUCAAUCGAGGGGAAGCCGGCCUGGUGCGAAGAUCAUGUCCUCUUAAUUUGGCCAUGCACGACCCUGGUUUGCUCUUUUUUCUUUUUUAGGGAGAAGGGCUUUCCUUUGUGGAGACAUGGAACCGCCCCCACACCCCCUCCUCCAAACCUCCCCUCCUUCGUCCCCCACCCCCAGUCCUGUUGGUAGUGUUGGUUAAUGAGCUGGUUUGACUCACUAAGUUUGUUCAUUUUGGGUCCCGGCUCCCAAGGGGUGGGGUGAUGCCAGGGACAACUCCUUUCUUGGGUGAAUUUUUCAUUUGAAUCAUGCAGCUUAGUCAUCCCGUGGCGAAGGCCAGGGCAGCUGCAGGUGCCCAUUGUCAACAGCCUGCCUCCCGGGCAGGUGGGGCUGCCAUGCCUGGGACUGAGCCGGUGCCCAUCGGCUCAGGCUCCUGCUGAUGCCCAUGACAUUUGCCCUGCGGAGCUGCAGGGGUUGGGGCGGGGGUGAUGUCAGGGAUCAGGGUGAUGUGGUAAUGAUGCACCCCUCCCCUCACCCCCUGUUGAUUUAAAGCUGUUUCCAAACAGUUGAGUCUCUCCUGAAGACGAAGCCUUGUCCCGAAAGGCCCAGUGAGACAGCUGGAUCUUGGAGACAAUUACGAGCCGGGAGCUGAACUCCUGACUGCCUGCUGAUUCUCCCACUGAUCAUUGCAGCUGCUUGUUUGGGUCUCCACCUUCAACCCCAGUGGCUGUAAAAACCCAUGAUGUGUCACUUCAUUUUCUUUCUGAUUCUCCCAGAUCGGUGGCUGGGGGCUUGGGAGAGAACCCAGAGAAGGGAGCUAGUCGCCUGUGAUCCCUCUGGCUUUGGGGAACAAAGACUGAUGUGAAGGCCCACAGAGAAUUCUCUCUUCCAGUCUCAACCCCCCAAGAGGGGCUGGAAGGGGAGGUUGGGGGUGGGGGAGGCAGGGGGCCGUUUUACAUAGGAUUAGCUUCCAGGUGGCUGCCAUUUCAGCACAAGCACUACUGAAAUUCACAUAAAAAAGAGAAAGCUGUGAAACUGAGGUCCCGAUUUAAUAGGCCCGGCGUCGAGCCUGCGGGCCCCGUGGUGCUCGCGAGAACGAGGGCUUGCCCCAAGCUGGGAGUAUGGGCCUCAGCUGCGCCCCGAGGCUCACGCUGAGCUGCUCCCAGCACCGCCGGCCAGAUUUACCUGCCGCAGGGCUGGAAGGAACCCGCGGCUGCCGGCGGGGACCUCGCGUGCAGCGCUUCUUCUCCGCGGGAGUUGUCACACAGCCUGUCUGUGUAGAUCCUGCUGCCGUGUGUGACCUGAGGUCUGUAAAGAAGGAAGCCAGCAUGAAAUCACAAGUCAAAGCUUGAUGAGCACAACAAAAGAAGAUCCUACUGUAUCAGGUCAUUUGAAACUCCAAACUGACUUUUAUUAUGACAGUUGGAUAAAGUGAGUGAAUGCUUAUUGGUUUAGAUAUUAAAAUGAACCAUAAAUAUGGCGGUUAGGGUUAAGUGAGUGAUGAAUCUUAUGUCCUGGCUUAAUUUCUCAGGUUUUCAAAUGGAUAAUUCUAAAGCAAUGCCAAUUUAUUAGUUUCUAAGAAUUAGCUUUGAGUUGGAAAAAAAGAUAGUAUGAAUAAGAAAAUAUUAUUAUACAGUAUAUGUUUCAUUUUAAAGUUUGAAUUAUUUCUUGGGAUCAGACCUGGGUCUGAUCUGUAGAAUUUUCCACUUGACAACCUUUGUUCUGUGUGCUUAGUCGCUCAGUUGUGUCCAACUCUUUGUGACCCCAUGGACUGUGGCCCGCCAGGCGCUUCUGUCCAUGGGGAUUCUCCAGGCAAGAACACUGGAGCGGGUCACCAAGCACUCCUCCAAGGGAUCUUGACAGCCUUAAACACUGGCAAUCUUCCAACAAUUGUUACUGACUUCUUUUUUAGGCUUCAUUACCCAGGAUUUCAUUUUGGUGGUUUAAAAAAAAAAAAAAGUCUGAUGAAUCGCAUCCUUUCACAGUUAGAAAUUGAAGGGUUCACACUUCUUGUCAGCCGGAAGUGGAGGUUGGGAAGAAUUCUAUUUUUGGAGUUGAAAGGCCACCUUUGACCCAGAAAUGUGUGGUUUCAUGAAAGAUGUCCCUCUGUUCUGUCUUUCUUGAUUUACCCAAGGAAUGGAGAAAUGCUUAAGAGGGUCACUUCAUCAGACUUGUUUCCUCCCAGUGCCCUAGGACAACCUUAUUGACCAUAUCUAAAGAAUUUUAGAUUUUCAGGUGUUUAAUUUGGUGUUAUGUGAUCCAUGUCACAAUAAUUUAACUUUAUGUUAUUCAAAAUUUUCCAAGUUGAAAUCUUGACUCUUUUUCUAAGAUGUGAGGAUUUACUCUUCUAGAUCAGGGGAUAAGAGAUGAACAGUCUGAACCAAGGGUUGAUCAUUAAGUAGCAAAGGGAUCCUAGAGAAAGAAAUGAAUCCACAGAGAAGGGAAAUGUAGCCUAGUACACUGCUUGGCUCUGAAGGAAACAAUGUUUAUAAAGUUAGAGUGAUAUAAAGAGCAGUUAUUGGUUUUCGGCUUUACAGUCAAUCACCAAAGUGUGAAACAAUGUAAAUAUUAAUAUUAACAAUGUGUAAAAGUAAAGUUCUAGGUGCCAGAAGUUCAAGCAAGACACACAUCUUCAUUCCACACAGUGGUGCUAAGAGAGAGGUCUGAAAUUGAUGGAGCAUGAAAAAGAGAUUCUUGUAUAUAUUUUUGUAUUUCACAGAUUCUAAGAGCUCACAUCUUUCAACCAUUAAUAAAUUUUUAUAUAAUUUUAAUCAAUCAUUUCUGGGCUGUGCUGCUACUUGCAGCAUGUUACUUGUGCUGUGAUCACUUGUCUUCGCUGCUACUUGCAGGCUUUCUCUAGUUGCGGUGAGUGGGGGCUGCUCUCUGGUUGAGGUGCGUGGGCUUCUCAUUGUGGGGGCUUCUCUUGUGGUGUUCUAGGGUGAGCACCCUUUAGUAGUUGUGGUGUGUGGGCUCAGCAGCCCCUCAGCAUGUGGAAUCUUCCUGGACUGGGGAUCAAACCCAUGGCCCCUGAGUGGGCAAACAGAGUCUUAACCACUGAACCACCAGGAAAGUUCUAAUAUAUUUGAAACUGGGAUGCUCCUUACUCUUGAGAAUACCUUAUAAGUAUAAUUGGCAGUGUUGUUUUCCUUAGUGGAACAGACAAUAAUGGCACAUCUUAGAUUUGACAAUGCAGUAUUUUGAGUUGUAAAAAGUAGUAAGUAACUAAAGAUAAUGAAAAAAAAAAAAUUGGGAGGGAGUGACCAAAGACAGCUAAAUAAACCAUCAUCUCUUAGAAUCAAAGGUUAAUAGAAAAUGUCUAAACUUGAUAAAUUUUAAAAAAUGACAGCAUGAGUCUGUUGUUUAUAUAUCUUUUCAUUUUAAACCCUUCCAUUGUUUUUUUUUUUUUUUUUAAUUUUUUUUUUUGGGGGGGGUGAGUGGAGCACAUGGUGCAGUUUAUAGGAUCUUAAUUCCCUGACCAGGGAUUGAACCCAGGUCCGCAGCAGUGAAAGCCAAAGUCUUAACCACUGGACUCCUGGGGAAUUCCCCACUAUUUGAUUUUUAAAAAACCAGACUGUAUCAGGUUCUUGUGGAUAUUGUAACAAAUUACCACAGUCUUGGUGGCUUAAAACAGAAAUUUACUCUCUCCUAGUUCUGGAGGCCAGAAGUCUGAAAUCAAGAUGUCUCUAAGGCCAUGUUCCUUCACAGAGUCAAGGGUUCUUCUCCUCUUCUAGCUUCUGGGAGCUGCCAGCAUUUCUGCAUCAUGCCAGUCUCCGUCUCUGUCUUCACAUCACCGUCUCUGUGAGUUCAAAUCUACCUCUGCCUUUCUCUUAUAAGCACACUGUAGUAGCACUUAGGACCUACCUGGAUAAUCUAGGACAAUCUCCCAAUUUCAAGAUCCUUAAUUAUAUCUGCAAAGACCCUGUAUUCCAAAUAAGUAACAUUCACUGAUUUCGAGUACUAUUAGGCUAUGGACAUAUCUUUGGGAGCCAUUAUCAGCCUACUCAUGCAUUAGUUUGAUUUAAAAAAAAAAUCCUAAGUUAUUCUACAAUUUGAAGUUUUUCAGUGACUACCCAUAGCUUCCAGGAUCAAGUUCAAAUGAUGUAUUGGUUAAAAAUAUAGUCUCUAAAGCAAAAGCACAAGAAACAAAGGAAAAAUAGGUCAACUGGACUUCAAGAUUAAAAACUUCUGUGCUUCAAAGGAUACCAUCAAGAAAGUGAAAAAACAACUCACAGAGAAAAUAAUAUAAAUGAUAAGAAACUUCUAUCUGGAAUAUACAAAGAGCUUUUAGAAUUCGAUAAUAAAAAGACAAAUAGCAAUUGUUAAAUGAGCAAUAGACAUUUCUUUAAGGAAGAUAAAAAACUGACCAAAAAACACAUGAAAGGAUGCUCUACAUCAUUAGUCACUUGUGAAAUACAAACCAAAACACAGUGAAACACCACUUCAUACUAACUAGGAUGGUGACAAUAAAAAAGACAGAUAACAAACAACAAGUCCUGGCAAGUGACGGAGAACCUGGAACCCUUAUGCACUGUUUGUGGAUUACUCAUUAUUCACAAUAUCCCCAAAGUGGAAACAACUCAAAUGUCCUUCCACUGACAAAUGGAUACAUAAAAUGCAGUCUAUCCAUAUAAUGGAAUAUUAUUUGGCAAUAAAAAGGAAUAAGGAAUAUGAUACAUUGCUAUAACAUAGAUUAGCCUUGAAAAUACUACACCAAGUGAAAGAAGCCAGUCACAAAGGACCACGUAUUGGAUGAUUCCAUUAUGUGAAAUGUCUAGAGUAGACAAAUCUAUAGUGAUAGAAAAUGGAUUAAUGGUUGGUUGGGGUAGGGGUCUAGAGGGAAUGGGGGAUGGGUAUGGGAUUUCUAUUUUUUAAAAAAUUAUUUAGUUAUUUAUUUUUGGCUGCACUGAGUCUUCGUUGCUGUGCAAGGGCUUCCUCCAUUGCGGCGAGUGAGGGCUGCUCUCUAGUUGCAGUUGUAGGUGUUUCCUUGCGGUGGCUUCUCUUGCCGUGGAGCACAGGCUCCGAAACUUGGGCUCUGGUAGCUGUGGCGCACAGGCUUAGUUGCCCGGCAGCAUGUGGGAUCUUCCCGGACCAGGGAUUGAACCCAUAUCCCCUGCAUUGGCAGCCAGAUUCUUAACCACUGGACCACCAGGGAAGUCCUGAUAUUUCUACAUGGGGUGAUAAAAAUGUUCUAAGUGGAUUGUGGUAAUGGUCACACAACUCUGAAUACACUAAAAACCAUUGAAUUACAUGCUUUAAAUGAGUGAAGUAUAUGACAUGUGAGUUCUGUCAGUAAAGCUCUUAGAUAGACGAUAGAUCAGUAGAUAGGACAGUCCACAGACUCACAGUCUUUGGUCCAGUCUCAGCUCCGUGAGAACGUGUAGAUGGAUAAGGGAACAUGCAUGGACGACCUCAGCACAGUUCCUGGCACACGGUAGAUACCCUACCUGUGACCACUGUUAUUAUCCACCUGGCAUUUGAUCACUGUGGGACUUGGUCCUUGCCUACCUCCGGCCCCUUUACACCCCCUUAGCCCCUUUUCAGGGCAGUUGCCACCCUGCAUCCCCUGCAGCUAUGCUAUCUCUUAAGAGUCCCCUGAAACAGGCCCAGCACACCCUGCUUUUACUAGAAUACCCUCUCUCUCCCCUGCCUUCACCCAGUUAGCUCCUCUUUUGCUCCCCUCCUGUGUUUCCUGAGCCCUCUGUCUCCCAGGAAGCAUCCCCUAUGGGCCCUAAGACCGCCUGCCCUUCCUGCCUGGUCAGCUGUGGUCCCCACCGCUCUGGGUACAGAGUCUCUCGUGACACUCGCUAUGCUCCAUGGCAUCUGUCUGCUGUGUCUUACUCAUCUUUCCACGCUCAGUGCCAAGCAGAGUGACAAAAAGUUCAGAAGUGAACAUGCUAAAUGGCCGCUGGGCCUAAAGAGAAUUACUGCUGCACCAGCAGUAGAGCAAAAUCUUUCCCAGGAGAGAAGAAAGAUUUUUCUCUUGUUUUCCAGGCAGAAGAAGUCUGUUUCUCUGGGGAUGGGGAGCUUGGCACGACUGCCCUUGUGCCUUAUCUUCCACAUGGACACACGCAGACCUGCCCGCCGCCUGCUUCCCAUGGAGUGAUGGAGGGAUGGAUGCAGGCCUGCCUUGUGACCCUGUCGGUUUAUUAGCACUUUAC